CCGAGUUUACAACUCCCAAACCCUUGUGAACCUUACCAUAUCGUUGCCUCGGCGGACCGCCCGGCCCUCCCCGGUAAACCAGGACGGCCCGCCAGAGGCCCCUAAACUCUUAUGUCUUAUAGUGUUUACUCUCUGAGUGACACAUAACAAUAAAUAA
rnacentral:misc_RNA from 1 species